rnacentral:rRNA from 1 species
AAUUUUCCGCAAUGGGCGAAAGCCUGACGGAGCAACGCCGCGUGAGGGAUGAAGGCCUCUGGGCUGUAAACCUCUUUUCUCAAGGAAGAAGAUCUGACGGUACUUGAGGAAUAAGCCACGGCUAAUUCCGUGCCAGCAG